CCUACGGGAGGCAGCAGUGGGGAAUAUUGGACAAUGGGGGGAACCCUGAUCCAGCCAUGCCGCGUGUGUGAAGAAGGCCCUCGGGUUGUAAAGCACUUUCAGUGAGGAAGAACGCCUGGUGGUUAAUACCCAUCAGGAAAGACAUCACUCACAGAAGAAGCACCGGCUAACUCCGUGCCAGCAGCCGCGGUAAUACGGAGGGUGCGAGCGUUAAUCGGAAUUACUGGGCGUAAAGCGCGCGUAGGUGGCUUGAUAAGCCGGUUGUGAAAGCCCCGGGCUCAACCUGGGAACGGCAUCCGGAACUGUCAAGCUAGAGUGCAGGAGAGGAAGGUAGAAUUACCGGUGUAGCGGUGAAAUGCGUAGAGAUCGGGAGGAAUACCAGUGGCGAAGGCGGCCUUCUGGACUGACACUGACACUGAGGUGCGAAAGCGUGGGUAGCAAACAGGAUUAGAUACCCGAGUAGUC
rnacentral:rRNA from 1 species